GUCCACGCCCUAAACGAUGUCAACUAGUUGUUGGUAGGGUUAAACCUAUUAGUAACGUAGCUAACGCGUGAAGUUGACCGCCUGGGGAGUACGGUCGCAAGAUUAAAACUCAAAGGAAUUGACGGGGACCCGCACAAGCGGUGGAUGAUGUGGAUUAAUUCGAUGCAACGCGAAAACCUUACCUACCCUUGACAUGUCAGGAAUCCCUUAGAGAUAGGGGAGUGCCGCAAGGAACCUGAACACAGGUGCUGCAUGGCUGUCGU
rnacentral:rRNA from 1 species